UCAGGAUGAACGCUAGCUACAGGCUUAACACAUGCAAGUCGAGGGGCAGCGGGAAGUCAGCUUGCUGACUUGCCGGCGACCGGCGCACGGGUGCGUAACACGUAUCCAAUCUACCCAUUGCUCAGGGAUAGCCUUUCGAAAGAAAGAUUAAUACCUGAUGGUCUGUGUUUGGGACAUCCCAGACACAGUAAAGACUUGUCGGCGAUGGAUGGGGAUGCGUCCGAUUAGGUAGUAGGCGGGGUAACGGCCCACCUAGCCGACGAUCGGUAGGGGUUCUGAGAGGAAGGUCCCCCACACUGGAACUGAGACACGGUCCAGACUCCUACGGGAGGCAGCAGUGAGGAAUAUUGGUCAAUGGGCGAAGGCCUGAACCAGCCAAAGUAGCGUGAGGGAGGACGGCCCUGCGGGUUGUAAACCUCUUUUGUUCGGGAAUAAAGUGCGGGACGUGUCCCGCUUUGUAUGUACCUUACGAAUAAGCAUCGGCUAAUUCCGUGCCAGCCGCCGC
rnacentral:rRNA from 1 species